GAUGUGCGACUUUUUUGUUUAUAUUCCACAAUAUGGGUGUGGCACAGCCUCAUUAAAUGUUACUGUAGCAGCUUCCAUUGUUUUGCACCAUUUUGGAGUUUGGGCAGGCUUUUCUGAGAGAAUCCGUGAGGGAAAUAAGUUUAUUGUGACAGAGAGACCUAUGAAACAGGUGAAAUACUGCACAGAAACUGAAGAGUCUAUCAUUGAAGAGCGAAAAUCUAGAAAAGAAUAUGCCUCUAAUGGAUUCUUUGAUGAGACGAGAAAUGGAGAUUCAACUUCUAACCUUCUGGA
rnacentral:misc_RNA from 1 species